GUGAGGAAUAUUGGUCAAUGGGCGAAAGCCUGAACCAGCCAUGUCGCGUGAAGGAUGAAGGUCCUAUGGAUUGUAAACUUCUUUUGCAGGAGGGUAAAGUGAGCUACGUGUAGUUCAUUGCAAGUACCCUGCGAAUAAGCAUCGGCUAACUCCGUGCCAGCAGCCGCGGUAAUACGGAGGAUGCGAGCGUUAUCCGGAUUUAUUGGGUUUAAAGGGUGCGUAGGCGGACUAAUUAGUCAGCGGUGAAAUUUUGCGGCUCAACCGUAAAACUGCCGUUGAAACUGUUAGUCUUGAGUGCGGUAGUGGUAGGCGGAAUGUGUGGUGUAGCGGUGAAAUGCUUAGAUAUCACACAGAACACCGAUUGCGUAGGCAGCUUACUGGAGCGCAACUGACGCUGAGGCACGAAAGCGUGGGGAUCGAACAGGAUUAGAUACCCGUGUAGUCC
rnacentral:rRNA from 1 species